rnacentral:rRNA from 1 species
CGCAACGAGCGCAACCCUUAUCAUUAGUUGCCAGCAUUAAGUUGGGCACUCUAAUGAGACUGCCGGUGACAAACCGGAGGAAGGUGGGGAUGACGUCAAGUCAUCAUGCCCCUUAUGACCUGGGCUACACACGUGCUACAAUGGGCAGUACAACGAGGAGCGAACUCGUGAAGGCAAGCGAAUCUCUCAAAGCUGUUCUCAGUUCGGACUGUAGGCUGCAACUCGCCUACACGAAGCUGGAAUCGCUAGUAAUCGCGGAUCAGCACGCCGCGGUGAAUACGUUCCCGGGCCUUGUACACACCGACCGUAAAAA